AGCUAAAAAGUCAGUUUCGCUAAGCUGAGAACAUAUUUUUCUAUUUCGGUCCUUUUACAUGCUGAACAGAGACCAAGAAAUCUUUAGCUGCCGAUUCAUUGAAGAUUGUCUGCCAUUAAGUUCCUGUUAGUGAUUUGAAUAUGUUUCACUGUGUUUGUGAUGAUUAAAAUAUGGAUUAUGGAUUUACAUCUUCAUCUAAGUUCUUUGGCCCAUAUGUCCACCACCUGUUUGAUGAAAUUCAUGAACCAGAUCAGUAGAUAUGUAAGUUGUGAUAAAAGAAACUUCACAGCCAUUUUUCAUUAUGCUUCCUCUCGUGUUGAAGUACUUUUGUGUUUGGCUAUAAUCGAGAAGACUUUAGGCAUGUUUGCGUGAUUGUUGUUGAAAAAUUUCUUAUUGGCUGAGACCUAUCUAUGCAUAUUGUUCAACUUGAUCAUUGCCUAUCUGUAUGUACACUUGAUGGCUUUGAUUCAUGUCUGUUCUCAUUACUCUCCGCCACAUGUAAAUUCGUGUUAGUAAAAGUUUCAUUGGUGAACAAAGCAUUUGAACCUUUGCCAUUUAGUUUUAUCACGUGAUUCAUUGGAUUGAAUUUCUUGCUCGCCGGCCAUGCCUUUUUCUUUUUUGAUUGAUGAUGCUUGGAUUGAUAUCAAAUUAUUACCUCCUGACUUGGCUGUGGACUUAGAAGUUAAUGAACCCUCGCAUGAACUUGUUUGCUCAAGAUUGGAAUAAUUCUCGUUCAAAAAAUUGUGCUAGGUGACUGGAAUUAAUGAGUUCCCCGGUUGAUGAGAUGUUUGAUGGUGUUAAUUUUUUGAAGCUAAAACAACAACGAACAAAGCUAAGUGAAUGAUGAACAUAGCAAAGAGUUGAUCAUGUCUCUGUACGAGUAAUUGCAGAAUGUUGGAAAAAAUGAAUAAAUGAAAGAGGCAAAGGGAAACUUAGCAAAGCAGGAAUCUGUGUUUUGGAUAUGAUGGACUGGGAAAGGGACUGUAAAAGAAAUAGAGGAAAUAAAAGAAAUAAAAAUAUAAAAACGAAAGCUAUAAAAAAUUAAUUUAAAAAUAUAAAAAUGAUAAGGAACUUCAAGUCUUAGUUAGGUAGUAGAAUCUUAGAAAUAAUUUUAAUUGAAUUCCAAUUAGUUUAGGUUUACACUGUUUGGGAAAUUCCAUUUCUUGAUUUUUAGGACAAUUUGAUUUUUGGAUAGCUUUUCCUUGGGGAAAAAAAGAAAUAUUGAAAUAUAGAAAAUGUCAAAAAAAGGAAACUUAAAAAAGUAAUAUGUUAUUAAUGGUUGCGGUUAGGAGGUUGAUCGGCUUUAUCGAUUAUAUGCAUCAAUCUUUUCAAAGGAUCUCCUCAAUUUGUCUAAAUUCCUUGUUGGUCAUUUCUUUUAUGUGAACAUUCUAAUGCUUUUCAUUGAUUGUGAUGCGUGAACGAAUGACAUGAGAUGAUGGAAGAACCGAACCAUGGAAGGAUUGAAGAACGUUCGAGAUCUUCAUGUGUUCCUAUUAGGAUUAGGGGAUUGAUGCCUCUUGUGAAUGCCUUCAAUUGGAAGGCUUGCCACUGAUUAUCAAAGGACACCAGGAUGCUUGGACUGUAUAGCUUACGGUGAAGAGACACCAAGGACAUGCUGGCGAGUGUCUAGAUUACGGUGGAAGAUUGGAUGGCCGAGAAGAUCUGAGGAACAUUGGGCCAUGAUUGGUUCGCUCGGAUAGAGAACUUCCUUAGGAUGAUGUGGCCGCAAAUUGAUGGAUGCCAAGAGAAAAAAACACUAGAACACGUCCUUAAGAUCAACGCCAGGAGGAGGGGCCACCGUGAAGAACAUCGCAAAGGGAAUGCAGGAGGGAGACUAAAACGAGAAAACCUCCGUCGCAAGAAGAUUUCGCCGAGAGGGAACCUGCGGGAGAGCCGAAAAAUAAGAACACUAGUGAGCGAGUGAUGAGCAAAUUCUCGAACUCCUGUCUCAGUCCCGCCUGGGCGGUGGCUCGAACUGGCUUACACCACGAGCUGGAUUCUGUCUUGGUGUGGUGCCCGGUUAUUAGGCGUCAGAUGAAGGCCCAGAGUCGGAGCUGCAAUGGAUCAUUGUGUUGAUCGCGGAAGGGGCCACCUACAGUGGACCGGUUGAUAGAAUGAUACCGUCGGAAGCGGUGCUUGCGGAUCGUGGUGCUUACGGAUGACAGUACUCGUGGAUGAUGAAACGCAGCAGUAAACCGCCAAAGUGGAUCUCCAGGAUGAGGAGGGCGGACGAGACCGCGGACACUAGAGACAGAGCUUGCUCAGCCUGAGAGUGUGUGUUCAUCGUGAGUUUUUUCCUCUCCCAUUAGUGUCGCACUCUCUGCCUUUUAACACCCGCGUACAAGCAUCUAUAUAUGUCAAAAAAUCUGCUUCCUCAAUCUCCGGGAUUCGCAAU